UACGUAGGGGGCGAGCGUUGUCCGGAUUCAUUGGGCGUAAAGAGCUCGUAGGCGGCUUGCUAAGUCGGGUGUGAAAUCCUCAGGCUCAACCUGGGGUCGCCACUCGAUACUGGUAUGGCUUGAGUCCGGUAGGGGAUCACGGAAUUCCUGGUGUAGCGGUGAAAUGCGCAGAUAUCAGGAGGAACACCGGUGGCGAAGGCGGUGAUCUGGGCCGGUACUGACGCUGGAGGAGCGAAAGCGUGGGAGCAAACAGG
rnacentral:rRNA from 1 species